AACGUAGGACACAAGCGUUAUCCGGAGUUACUGGGCGUAAAGCGAGUGUAGGCGGUCCGAUAAGUCGGGUGUGAAAGCCCUGGGCUCGACCCAGGAAGUGCACUCGAAACUGCCGGGCUAGAGUAUCGGAGAGGUUGGUGGAAUUCUCGGUGUAGAGGUGAAAUUCGUAGAUAUCGAGAGGAACACCGGUGGCGAAGGCGGCCAACUGGACGAAUACUGACGCUGAGACUCGAAAGCGUGGGGAGCAAACAGG
rnacentral:rRNA from 1 species